UGGGAGGAUCACUUGAGCUCAGGAGUUUGAGACCAGCCAGGACAACACAGCAAGAUCUGUCUCUAUCUUAAAAAAACAAAAGGCCGGGUGCAGUGGCUCACGCCUGUAAUCCCAGCACUUUGGGAGGCCAAGGCAGGCGGAUCACGAGGUCAGGAGAUUGAGACCAUCCUGGCCAACAUGGUGAAACCCCAUCUCUAUUAAAAAUAGAAAAACUAGCUGGGCAUGGUGGCGCAUGCUUGUAAUCCCAGCUACUUGGGAGGCUGAGGCAAGAGAAUUUCUUGAACCCAGGAGGUGGAGGUUGCAGUGAGCCGAAAUCGUGCCACUGCACUCCAGCCUGGGCGACAGAGCCAGACUCAAUCUCAAAAAACAAACAAAAACCCAAGUGCUGAGAUUACAGGCAUGAGCCACCACACCUAGCUCUAUUUAAUUAUUUUACUAUUUUAAUUUUAUUUAUUUUUUUCCUAGACAGAGUUUUGCUCUGUCACCCAGGCUGGAGUGCAGUGGCCCUGUCAUGGCUCACUGCAGCCUAGACCUCCUGGGCUCAAGUGAUCCUUCCGCCUCGGCCUCCAGAAGUGCUGGGAUUACAUGCAUGAGCCACCGCACCGUCUGUUUUCUUCCUUUUUAACAUUCUCCUGAUUCUACAACCCUUACAUAGGAGAGCUGCAAUUCCUCCUCUUGGGGUACAAAUUUAUGAGUGCAGGUGCAGUUUUGUUACAUGCCUAACAAGAUUGCAUAGUGGUCAAGUGGACUUUUAACCAAAUGGGUUGUCAGGGCUGAUUGCCAACAUCUGGACAUUUUAAAUUACCAAUCUGAAAAGGGAAACACCUCUGUGCUUGUUUUGCAUUUUGGUGACUAUUGGUAAUGGUUUUCUGUUUUGAUAUAUUCAAUCUGUUCAAUCUGUAUUAGUGCCUACUCUGCCACUGUGUUGGGCGGGAAUCUGAUUUUGUUCUUUGGUUGGAGAUCCAAGUUAACCAGAGCUUAGGCAUUUUAAGAUAACUACCUCAGCUUGAUAGGAAAGCUUGCUCUGCCCGGGGUUAAGGGGUACGGGUCUGAGGGCGACAGAAUCGAUAGCCUCAAGUGGGCAAAGGGUGGCCAAACAGGAGUGGCCUCCGACGUCACUGUGGCGCGCCGCUUCCGGUCUGCAGCCUUGUGGUGGGGCUGGAGCAGAGCCUGCCGCGAAACCCCGGAGCCCACGAUCCCUCGUGCCAUCCCUCGAAUCCGCCAGCACGAGCGUCCCACCCGCGCCUGGGACCAUGGCCACUGACUCAUGGGCCCUGGCGGUGGACGAGCAGGAAGCUGCGGCUGAGUCGUUGAGCAACUUGCAUCUUAAGGAAGAGAAAAUCAAACCAGAUACCAAUGGUGCUGUUGUCAAGACCAAUGCCAAUGCAGAGAAGACAGAUGAAGAAGAGAAAGAGGACAGAGCUGCCCAGUCCUUACUCAACAAGCUGAUCAGAAGCAACCUUGUUGAUAACACAAACCAAGUGGAAGUCCUGCAGCGGGAUCCAAACUCCCCUCUGUACUCGGUGAAGUCUUUUGAAGAGCUUCGGCUGAAACCACAGCUUCUCCAAGGAGUCUAUGCCAUGGGUUUCAAUCGUCCAUCCAAGAUACAAGAGAACGCAUUGCCACUGAUGCUUGCUGAGCCCCCACAGAACUUAAUUGCCCAAUCUCAGUCUGGUACUGGUAAAACAGCUGCCUUCGUGCUGGCCAUGCUUAGCCAAGUAGAACCUGCAAAUAAAUACCCUCAGUGUCUAUGUCUCUCCCCAACGUAUGAGCUCGCCCUCCAAACAGGAAAAGUGAUUGAACAAAUGGGCAAAUUUUACCCUGAACUGAAGCUAGCUUAUGCUGUUCGAGGCAAUAAAUUGGAAAGAGGCCAGAAGAUCAGUGAGCAGAUUGUCAUUGGCACCCCUGGGACCGUGCUGGACUGGUGCUCCAAGCUCAAGUUCAUUGAUCCCAAGAAAAUCAAGGUGUUUGUUCUGGAUGAGGCUGAUGUCAUGAUAGCCACUCAGGGCCACCAAGAUCAGAGCAUCCGCAUCCAGAGGAUGCUGCCCAGGAACUGCCAGAUGCUGCUUUUCUCUGCCACCUUUGAAGACUCUGUGUGGAAGUUUGCCCAGAAAGUGGUCCCAGACCCAAACGUUAUCAAACUGAAGCGUGAGGAAGAGACCCUGGACACCAUCAAGCAGUACUAUGUCCUGUGCAGCAGCAGAGACGAGAAGUUCCAGGCCUUGUGUAACCUCUACGGGGCCAUCACCAUUGCUCAAGCCAUGAUCUUCUGCCAUACUCGCAAAACAGCUAGUUGGCUGGCAGCAGAGCUCUCAAAAGAAGGCCACCAGGUGGCUCUGCUGAGUGGGGAGAUGAUGGUGGAACAGAGGGCUGCAGUGAUUGAGCGCUUCCGAGAGGGCAAAGAGAAGGUUUUGGUGACCACCAACGUGUGUGCCCGCGGUGAUAAGAACUCCCACAGAAGCCAGGAGUCCUGACUUGGUGGAAGGAAAUGUACAGGCAUCUGACUGGUAGAGAACGGAGCCUGCUCUUCCAGGGAUGCCCAUCUCCAGAACAUUGUGUCUCCCAGAGGCUUACUGACUGAUUUCAUAAUUUUGUUGGCACCUGCCAAAGUUUUGUUCUUUUCCUCCAGGUUCUGCUGUAUGCCUGUAUGUGCCCUCUCUUGUACCCAAUUCCCAGAGUUGGCCUGUCCCAAAUUUAUUUAUUUUUUUGAGACAGAGUCUCGCUCAAUGGCCCAGGCUGGAGUGCAGUGGCACAAUCUCAGCUCACUGUAACCUCCGCCUCUUAGGUUUAAGUGAUUCUCCCGCCUCAGCCUCCCGAGUAGCUGGGAUUACAGGCGCCUGCCACCAAGCCCAGCUAAUUUUUGUAUUUUCAGUACAGAUAGGGUUUUGCAGUGUUGGCCAGGCUAGUCUUGAACUCUUGACCUCAGAUGAUCUGCCUGCCUCGGCCUCCCAAAGUGCUGGGAUUACCGGUAUGAGCCACCGCACUCGGCCCUCCAAAUUCUUUCCCUUUACCCGAAGUUGGUAUGCAUUGACUUACCUGUGGACGACAGUGAUUUUUGUCUCCUGUCCUUACUUCUCUCUGUCUCCAACUCUCAGGGACUCAUUCAUCACCUCUCCCUGCACCCCACCCCCUGACCCCUGCUAGUUUGGUUUCUAUGCCUGUAGCUUUGCUUUGGGGCAUCAUCUGAAUCUCAUACUGCACGGCCUUUCAGAUCUGGCUUCCUGCACUCAACGUCAUGCACGUCUCUUAGUGCCGUGUUCCCUUAAUGCUGAGUCAUGCUCCAUUGUAUGGAUGGACCACAUGACUGAUUUGCCUCCUGUCCUUAGUUCUCUCAGCCUCCAACUCUCCUUCCUGCAGGCAUUGAUGUUGAACAAGUGUCUGUCGUCAUCAACUUUGAUCUUCCCGUGGACAAGGACGGGAAUCCUGACAAUGAGACCUACCUGCACCGGAUCGGGCGCACGGGCCGCUUUGGCAAGAGGGGCCUGGCAGUGAACAUGGUGGACAGCAAGCACAGCAUGAACAUCCUGAACAGAAUCCAGGAGCAUUUUAAUAAGAAGAUAGAAAGAUUGGACACAGAUGAUUUGGACGAGAUUGAGAAAAUAGCCAACUGAGAAGCUCCACCAGCCACUGAUGCCAGCCCUGGCACUGCCCCUGCACAGGAGACAAGUGCGUUCAGGGCACAGGCCCCGACAUCACCCCAACGACAACGGCACAAGUAGAGAGAAACUACCUACCUCACUUCAAAUUAUGUUUGGACUUGACAAAAAUGUAUGCAAAUGAUGGGGGAUGGUAGAAAAAAAUUAUUUACACAACCUUGGAAGAUUAGGCAUGAAUACACAGAGAUUUACCUUU